UGGGUGACCUGGCAGGGGAGAGCCCAUAAUCACCAAGGUAGUUUUCCCAGGCUGAGGCCCAUCCCUUGCACUCUAGGCAGGCUGACCCCUGGAAGUUUCUCCAAGUGUGGGAAACUUGACUGCACAAUUUUGUGGAAGUAGGAGCUGUUUUUUUUGCUUUUCCCCUAACUUGCUCCUU
rnacentral:snRNA from 1 species